rnacentral:misc_RNA from 1 species
AUUGCAAAACUGACAGCAACAAAAAUAAUUUAGUUUACUGGAUGUUGCCUGAACUUAACACAGCUCUGUUUUGAUUGUUUCUCGGUUGCUAUAUGAGAAUCGAUGUCCAAAUUUGAACAUUUUGAUCGAGGGAGACAACUAGAACUACAGAAGGGAGGAGCAAACAUGGGGAAAAAAGCAAACACUACAUAAAAAUCAUAGCAAAAUCUGCAAAAGAACUUAUGAAAUCUAUCGCCGUCUCAUUCCACGUCCACGUCCACGCCCUCUACCACCACCCAUGGCACUUGCAGCAGCAUCUCCUUGUGCACUCUCAGACUUAGGAUUCUUCACUGUCUCAUCUACACUCAGAAUGAGGCAUGCAGCUUCAGUGGCUGCAUUGAUGGCAUUUAUCUUCACGACUGCUGGCUCCCAAACAAAGUUGGC